UACGUAGGGUGCAAGCGUUGCCCGGAUUUAUUGGGCGUAAAGGGCGCGUAGGCGGUCACGCACGUCCGUUGUGAAAUCGCUCGGCUCAACUGGGCGGGGUCAGCGGAUACGGUGUGGCUAGAGCAAGCUAGGGGGCAAUGGAAUUCCCGGUGUAGUGGUGGAAUGCGUAGAUAUCGGGAGGAACACCAGUGGCGAACGGCGGUUGCCUGGGACGCUUU
rnacentral:rRNA from 1 species